GAUGAACGCUGGCGGCGUGCCUAAUACAUGCAAGUCGAGCGAACGGACGAGAAGCUUGCUUUUCUGAUGUUAGCGGCGGACGGGUGAGUAACACGUGGAUCACCUACCUAUAAGACUGGGAUAACUUCGGGAAACCGGAGCUAAUACCGGAUAAUAUUUUGAACCGCAUGGUUCAAAAGUGAAAGACGGUCUUGCUGGAACUUAUAGAUGGAUCCGCGCUGCAUUAGCUAGUUGGUAAGGUAACGGCUUACCAAGGCAACGAUGCAUAGCCGACCUCAGAGGGUGAUCGGCCACACUGGAACUGAGACACGGUCCAGACUCCUACGGGAGGCAGCAGUAGGGAAUCUUCCGCAAUGGGCGAGAGCCUGACGGAGCAACGCCACGUGAGUGGUGAAGGUCUUCCGAUCGUAAAACUCUGUUAUUAGGGAAGAACAUAUUUGUAAGUAACUGUGCACAUCGUGACGGUACCUAAUCAGAAAGCCACGGCUAACUACGUG
rnacentral:rRNA from 1 species